rnacentral:piRNA from 1 species
UGUAACUACAGAUACAGGGGAUCUGAUGCC